rnacentral:lncRNA from 1 species
AUGAAGAGUUUUGACUGUGUCACAGCUGAACAGACGUCUCAUCGUGUCGGAGCAGCUGCAGAUGAGAUUCAUGAGGACGUCUUCACAGUUUUUCAGCUCUCAGUCAUGAAGAGGUGUGGACUGAUCCUGCUGCUGCUCUCAGGUUACGUGAUGGUCUGCCAUCUUCAGUCUGAUCAGUUAGUCAGACAGCUCCACCUGGUUGACCUGCAGAAGUCCUGGAACGAUGCUCAGCAAUACUGCAGAGAUGAGUACAUCGACCUCGCCAUCGUUAACAGCUCAGCUCUCAUCCAGGAAGCCCAGAAAAGGGCGGGGAGCACAGAGGCGUGGAUUGGACUCUUCAAGAGCGACUGGAAAUGGUCUCAAACUGGUCCAGUUCAGUCAUCCUGGUUAAAUUUCUGGUUCCCGGGACAGCCAGGGACUGAUGAGUGUGUUACGAUAACUGGAUUUGGAUCAUGGUCCACAAGACCGUGCUCAGCUACUUAUCCCUUUGUCUGCUAUGACGGUGAGUGUUUCAGACUUUGGUACCAGGGUUUGACAAACUGA